UCGGAAUCUACCUUGUCGUGGGGGAUAACGUAGGGAAACUUACGCUAAUACCGCAUACGAACCAUGGUUGAAAGCGGCGGACCGCAAGGCGUCGCGCGAUUGGAUGAGCCGAUGUCCGAUUAGCUAGUUGGCGGGGUAAAGGCCCACCAAGGCGACGAUCGGUAGCUGGUCUGAGAGGAUGAUCAGCCACACUGGAACUGAGACACGGUCCAGACUCCUACGGGAGGCAGCAGUGGGGAAUAUUGGACAAUGGGGGCAACCCUGAUCCAGCCAUGCCGCGUGUGUGAAGAAGGCCUUCGGGUUGUAAAGCACUUUUGUUGGGGAAGAAAAGCACUGGGCUAAUACCUUGGUGUCAUGACGGUACCCAAAGAAUAAGCACCGGCUAACUUCGUGCCAGCAGCCGCGGUAAUACGAAGGGUGCAAGCGUUACUCGGAAUUACUGGGCGUAAAGCGUGCGUAGGCGGUUUGUUAAGU
rnacentral:rRNA from 1 species